rnacentral:rRNA from 1 species
UUAAGCACUAAGCGUACACGGUGGAUGCCCUGGCAGUCAGAGGCGAUGAAGGACGUGCUAAUCUGCGAAAAGCGCCGGCGAGGUGAUAUGAACCCUUGACCCGGCGAUGUCCGAAUGGGGAAACCCAGUGUGUUCCGACACACUAUCGUUAACUGAAUACAUAGGUUAACGAGGCGAACCGGGGGAACUGAAACAUCUAAGUACCCCGAGGAAAAGAAAUCAACCGAGAUUCCCCCAGUAGCGGCGAGCGAACGGGGAGCAGCCCGGAGUCUGAAUCAGCUUGUGUGUUAGUGGAACGGUCUGGAAAGUCCGACGGUACAGGGUGAUAGUCCCGUACACGAAAACACACUUGCUGUGAACUCGAAGAGUAGGGCGGGACACGUGGUAUCCUGUCUGAAUAUGGGGGGACCAUCCUCCAAGGCUAAAUACUCCUGACUGACCGAUAGUGAACCAGUACCGUGAGGGAAAGGCGAAAAGAACCCCGGCGAGGGGAGUGAAAAAGAACCUGAAACCGUGUACGUACAAGCAGUGGGAGCACCUUCGGGUGUGACUGCGUACCUUUUGUAUAAUGGGUCAGCGACUUAUAUUCUGUAGCAAGGUUAACCGUAUAGGGGAGCCGAAGGGAAACCGAGUCUUAACUGGGCGUUAAGUUGCAGGGUAUAGACCCGAAACCCGGUGAUCUAGCCAUGGGCAGGUUGAAGGUUGGGUAACACUAACUGGAGGACCGAACCGACUAAUGUUGAAAAAUUAGCGGAUGACCUGUGGCUGGGGGUGAAAGGCCAAUCAAACCGGGAGAUAGCUGGUUCUCCCCGAAAGCUAUUUAGGUAGCGCCUCGUGAACUCAUCUUCGGGGGUAGAGCACUGUUUCGGCUAGGGGGCCAUCCCGGCUUACCAACCCGAUGCAAACUACGAAUACCGAAGAAUGUUAUCACGGGAGACACACGGCGGGUGCUAACGUCCGUCGUGAAGAGGGAAACAACCCAGACCGCCAGCUAAGGUCCCAAAGUCAUGGUUAAGUGGGAAACGAUGUGGGAAGGCACAGACAGCCAGGAUGUUGGCUUAGAAGCAGCCAUCAUUUAAAGAAAGCGUAAUAGCUCACUGGUCGAGUCGGCCUGCGCGGAAGAUGUAACGGGGCUAAACCAUGCACCGAAGCUGCGGCAGCGACACUAUGUGUUGUUGGGUAGGGGAGCGUUCUGUAAGCCGUUGAAGGUGUGCUGUGAGGCAUGCUGGAGGUAUCAGAAGUGCGAAUGCUGACAUAAGUAACGAUAAAGCGGGUGAAAAGCCCGCUCGCCGGAAGACCAAGGGUUCCUGUCCAACGUUAAUCGGGGCAGGGUGAGUCGACCCCUAAGGCGAGGCCGAAAGGCGUAGUCGAUGGGAAACAGGUUAAUAUUCCUGUACUUGGUGUUACUGCGAAGGGGGGACGGAGAAGGCUAUGUCAGCCGGGCGACGGUUGUCCCGGUUUAAGCAUGUAGGCGGAGGUUCCAGGUAAAUCCGGUACCUUAUUAACGCUGAGGUGUGAUGACGAGGCACUACGGUGCUGAAGUGAUAAAUGCCCUGCUUCCAGGAAAAGCCUCUAAGCAUCAGGUAACACGAAAUCGUACCCCAAACCGACACAGGUGGUCAGGUAGAGAAUACCAAGGCGCUUGAGAGAACUCGGGUGAAGGAACUAGGCAAAAUGGUGCCGUAACUUCGGGAGAAGGCACGCUGAUAGGUAGGUGAAGCCCCUGCGGGCGGAGCUGAAAUCAGUCGAAGAUACCAGCUGGCUGCAACUGUUUAUUAAAAACACAGCACUGUGCAAACACGAAAGUGGACGUAUACGGUGUGACGCCUGCCCGGUGCCGGAAGGUUAAUUGAUGGGGUCAGCGGCAACGCGAAGCUCUUGAUCGAAGCCCCGGUAAACGGCGGCCGUAACUAUAACGGUCCUAAGGUAGCGAAAUUCCUUGUCGGGUAAGUUCCGACCUGCACGAAUGGCGUAAUGAUGGCCAGGCUGUCUCCACCCGAGACUCAGUGAAAUUGAACUCGCUGUGAAGAUGCAGUGUACCCGCGGCAAGACGGAAAGACCCCGUGAACCUUUACUAUAGCUUGACACUGAACACUGGUCCUUGAUGUGUAGGAUAGGUGGGAGGCUUUGAAGCGUGGACGCCAGUCUGCGUGGAGCCAUCCUUGAAAUACCACCCUUUAAUGGCUGGUGUUCUAACGUAGACCCGUAAUCCGGGUUGCGGACAGUGUCUGGUGGGUAGUUUGACUGGGGCGGUCUCCUCCCAAAGAGUAACGGAGGAGCACGAAGGUUGGCUAAUCCUGGUCGGACAUCAGGAGGUUAGUGCAAUGGCAUAAGCCAGCUUGACUGCGAGCGUGACGGCGCGAGCAGGUGCGAAAGCAGGUCAUAGUGAUCCGGUGGUUCUGAAUGGAAGGGCCAUCGCUCAACGGAUAAAAGGUACUCCGGGGAUAACAGGCUGAUACCGCCCAAGAGUUCAUAUCGACGGCGGUGUUUGGCACCUCGAUGUCGGCUCAUCACAUCCUGGGGCUGAAGUAGGUCCCAAGGGUAUGGCUGUUCGCCAUUUAAAGUGGUACGCGAGCUGGGUUUAGAACGUCGUGAGACAGUUCGGUCCCUAUCUGCCGUGGGCGCUGGAGAAUUGAGGGGGGCUGCUCCUAGUACGAGAGGACCGGAGUGGACGCAUCACUGGUGUUCGGGUUGUCAUGCCAAUGGCACUGCCCGGUAGCUAAAUGCGGAAGAGAUAAGUGCUGAAAGCAUCUAAGCACGAAACUUGCCCCGAGAUGAGUUCUCCCUGAGACUUUAAGUCUCCUGAAGGAACGUUGAAGACGACGACGUUGAUAGGUCGGGUGUGUAAGCGCAGCGAUGCGUUGAGCUAACCGAUACUAAUGAACCGUGAGGCUUAACCUU